rnacentral:rRNA from 1 species
GAUGAACGCUGGCGGCGUGCUUAACACAUGCAAGUCGGACGGAAAGUGGUGUUUUCGGUGGCGGACUGGAGUGGCAAACGUAAGAGUAAGCCGUGGGUGGUGGGACCUGCACUUGGGGAUAAGGCUGGUAACCUGUGCGUAGUGGCGGAUAGGACGAUGGCUGGGAUGGGAUGGUGGAGAGUCUUUGGGUGUGGGAGGAGAUGGAGGCGUUUAAGGUGGUUGUUGGGGGUAUGUAGUACGAGGGCGUCGACGGGUAGCCGGCCUGAGAGGGUGUACGGCCGCAUUGGGACUGAGAUGCGGCCCAGACUCCUACGGGAGGCAGCAGUGGGGGAUAUUGCACAAUGGGGGCAAGCCUGAUGCAGCGACGCCGCGUGGGGGAUGACGGCCGUCGGGUUGUAAACUCCUUUCGCUAGGGACGAAGCGCAAGUGACGGUACCUGGAGAAGAAGCACCGGCUAACUACGUG